UACUAGUCUGUGAUCCGACCAACAGUGAG
rnacentral:sRNA from 1 species